AUGACUCUGAUCUGCGUCCUCGUCUGGACUCUCCUCUGCUUCACAGGUAAAUCCAGAGGCCAGGUCACAGUGACUCAGCCUGGAGCAGUGAGCUCUGCUGCUGGAGGCUCCGUCUCCAUCUCAUGUACAACCAGUCAGAGUGUUUAUGACUCUAAUUGUUUAGCCUGGUACCAACAGAGAGACGGAGGAGCUCCUAAGCUGCUGAUUUAUUAUGCUACCAGUCGAGCAUCAGGGACUCCAGGUCGUUUUACAGGCAGUGGAUCAGGAUCUUCCUUCACUCUGAGCAUCAGUGGAGUCACAGCUGAAGAUGCAGCACAUUACUACUGUCAGAGUUAUCAUUACAUCAACAGUCAGCAUAUGUUCACACAGUGAAAAAGAGUCGUACAAAAACCUCCUUCAGUCAGAAGGAACAGAAACUGAACUGAC